AACGCGUGUAGCAAUACACGAGUGGCGGACGGGUGAGUAACGCGUGGGAACCUGCCCAGUGGUAGGGAAUAACUGCGGGAAACUGCAGCUAAUACCCUAUGAGCCCUACGGGGGAAAGAUUUAUCGCCAUUGGAGGGGCCCGCGUCGGAUUAGCUAGUUGGUAGGGUAACGGCCUACCAAGGCGACGAUCCGUAGCUGGUCUGAGAGGAUGAUCAGCCACACUGGGACUGAGAUACGGCCCAGACUCCUACGGGAGGCAGCAGUGGGGAAUAUUGGACAAUGGGGGAAACCCUGAUCCAGCAAUGCCGCGUGAGUGAAGAAGGCCUUAGGGUUGUAAAGCUCUUUCGGCGGGGACGAUGAUGACGGUACCCGCAGAAGAAGCCCCGGCUAACUUCGUGCCAGCAGCCGCGGUAAUACGAAGGGGGCUAGCGUUGUUCGGAAUCACUGGGCGUAAAGGGCGCGUAGGCGGCUUGACAAGUCAGGUGUGAAAGCCCCGGGCUCAACCCGGGAAUUGCACUUGAUACUGUCUCGCUAGAGUCCGGGAGAGGAUGGCGGAAUUCCCAGUGUAGAGGUGAAAUUCGUAGAUAUUGGGAAGAACACCGGUGGCGAAGGCGGCCAUCUGGA
rnacentral:rRNA from 1 species